AGGUACAACGAUGCCUCCGGACUUAAACUGCGACAGUGAAACAACAGACUUUCGCUUUCCUAGCUGACACAUGCUGACAAGUUACUUCUUUCCCUGAGCCUCGGUUUUCCUCAUCGGUAAAAAGGGACAGCACAGCUAUUGUGAGGAUUAAAUGAAAUAAAUGAUGCCAGUAAAAUUCAUCCAUGUAGUAGGGGCUCGGCAUGCUUAAGAAAUAAAUCCCAAAUUACAAUUCUGGAAGCGAGCUUUGUUGCACAUUAUACACUUACCGAGAUCUGUGGCAAAGGUCUGUUUUUUUACACUCCAUAAGAUGAGCCUUUUUUGGUGGGGUUGGAGGGAGGGCUACAGCCUGACCACGGGAGCAAGACGUCACCCCAUCUGAAACUCGAGAGACGUUGCAGAGACAGAGGAGAGACUUAACAUUGAGAAGAUUUUUUUCCAAAGGACUGGAAUUAUUCCAAAAGUAUUCCCGGUGUAAUUUGAAAUUCCAUAGGAAACCAAGAUUUUGUGUUCACCUUUGUGUGACAGCCUCUGUUCUGCAGAUCAAGAACAAGCUGUAGGGCUUCCCUGGUGGCGCAGCGGUUGAGAGUCCGCCUGCUGAUACAGGGGACACGGGUUCGUGCCCCGGUCUGGGAAGAUCCCCCAUGCCGCGGAGCGGCUGGGCCCGUGAGCCAUGGCCGCUGAGCCUGUGCGUCGGGAGCCUGUGCUCCGCAACAGGAGAGGCCACAACAGUGAGAGGCCCGCGUACCGGAAAAAAAAAAAAAAAAAGAACAAGCUGUAACAGGACAGUGCAGGUCGUAGAUCUUGGGAAUAUAAAUGAUUAAAACUGUCGUCUGUGGGAAAUACUAGCGGGUGACAACUCAUUUUAGGAAGACAGAGGACGGCUGUGAGAACUCCUUAGGGCAGCAGCUACGAUGUCCUCUGACCCCGGUGCCCUCUCUCUGGCCCUGGUCCUCUCCUGCUGGCUUCGGUCCCUGUGCCCUGGCACCCGGCCCAGCCCUCCCCUUGGACUGGGCACCCUUGGAUGUGGUCUGACCUCAACCAGGAACCCUGGAGACCCACCCCUAAGGGUCUGCUCUGACUGAAAUCUGGUGAAUGUGCGAGCUGGAAAGAGAUUUCUACCCUUGUCUUUCCUAAGAUGUUUAA
rnacentral:lncRNA from 1 species